GAUGAACGCUGGCGGCGUGCCUAAUACAUGCAAGCCGAGCGAACAGACGAGGAGCUUGCUCCUCUGACGUUAGCGGCGGACGGGUGAGUAACACGUGGAUAACCUACCUAUAAGACUGGGAUAACUUCGGGAAACCGGAGCUAAUACCGGAUAACAUGUUGAACCGCAUGGUUCAACAGUGGAAGACGGUUUUGCUGUCACUUAUAGAUGGAUCCGCGUCGCAUUAGCUAGUUGGUAAGGUAACGGCUUACCAAGGCAACGAUGCGUAGCCGACCUGAGAGGGUGAUCGGCCACACUGGAACUGAGACACGGUCCAGACUCCUACGGGAGGCAGCAGUAGGGAAUCUUCCGCAAUGGGCGAAAGCCUGACGGAGCAACGCCGCGUGAGUGAAGAAGGUCUUCGGAUCGUAAAACUCUGUUAUUAGGGAAGAACAAAUGUGUAAGUAACUAUGCACGUCUUGACGGUACCUAAUCAGAAAGCCACGGCUAACUACGUG
rnacentral:rRNA from 1 species